rnacentral:rRNA from 1 species
AACGAACGCUGGCGGCAUGCCUAACACAUGCAAGUCGAACGAGACCUUCGGGUCUAGUGGCGCACGGGUGCGUAACGCGUGGGAAUCUACCCUCAGGUUCGGAAUAACUCAGAGAAAUCUGAGCUAAUACCGGAUGAUGACGUAAGUCCAAAGAUUUAUCGCCUGAGGAUGAGCCCGCUUAGGAUUAGGUAGUUGGUGAGGUAAAGGCUCACCAAGCCGACGAUCCUUAGCUGGUCUGAGAGGAUGAUCAGCCACACUGGGACUGAGACACGGCCCAGACUCCUACGGGAGGCAGCAGUGGGGAAUAUUGGACAAUGGGCGAAAGCCUGAUCCAGCAAUGCCGCGUGAGUGAUGAAGGCCUUAGGGUUGUAAAGCUCUUUUACCCGGGAUGAUAAUGACAGUACCGGGAGAAUAAGCUCCGGCUAACUCCGUG